rnacentral:rRNA from 1 species
CUCGAGUGGCGAACGGGUGAGUAACACGUGGGUGAUCUGCCCUGCACUUCGGGAUAAGCCUGGGAAACUGGGUCUAAUACCGGAUAGGACCACGGGAUGCAUGUCUUGUGGUGGAAAGCGCUUUAGCGGUGUGGGAUGAGCCCGCGGCCUAUCAGCUUGUUGGUGGGGUGACGGCCUACCAAGGCGACGACGGGUAGCCGGCCUGAGAGGGUGUCCGGCCACACUGGGACUGAGAUACGGCCCAGACUCCUACGGGAGGCAGCAGUGGGGAAUAUUGCACAAUGGGCGCAAGCCUGAUGCAGCGACGCCGCGUGGGGGAUGACGGCCUUCGGGUUGUAAACCUCUUUCACCAUCGACGAAGGUCCGGGUUCUCUCGGAUUGACGGUAGGUGGAGAAGAAGCACCGGCCAACUACGUGCCAGCAGCCGCGGUAAUACGUAGGGUGCGAGCGUUGUCCGGAAUUACUGGGCGUAAAGAGCUCGUAGGUGGUUUGUCGCGUUGUUCGUGAAAUCUCACGGCUUAACUGUGAGCGUGCGGGCGAUACGGGCAGACUAGAGUACUGCAGGGGAGACUGGAAUUCCUGGUGUAGCGGUGGAAUGCGCACAUAUCAGGAGGAACACCGGUGGCGAAGGCGGGUCUCUGGGCAGUAACUGACGCUGAGGAGCGAAAGCGUGGGGAGCGAACAGGAUUAGAUACCCUGGUAGUCCACGCCGCAAACGGUGGGUACUAGGUGUGGGUUUCCUUCCUUGGGAUCCGUGCCGUAGCUAACGCAUUAAGUACCCCGCCUGGGGAGUACGGCCGCAAGGCUAAAACUCGAAGGAAUUGACGGGGGCCCGCACAAGCGGCGGAGCAUGUGGAUUAAUUCGAUGCAACGCGAAGAACCUUACCUGGGUUUGACAUGCACAGGACGCGUCUAGAGAUAGGCGUUCCCUUGUGGCCUGUGUGCAGGUGGUGCAUGGCUGUCGUCAGCUCGUGUCGUGAGAUGUUGGGUUAAGUCCCGCAACGAGCGCAACCCUUGUCUCAUGUUGCCAGCACGUAAUGGUGGGGACUCGUGAGAGACUGCCGGGGUCAACUCGGAGGAAGGUGGGGAUGACGUCAAGUCAUCAUGCCCCUUAUGUCCAGGGCUUCACACAUGCUACAAUGGCCGGUACAAAGGGCUGCGAUGCCGCGAGGUUAAGCGAAUCCUUAAAAGCCGGUCUCAGUUCGGAU